AGAGAGAGAAGCAAAAAUGAUUCACUCAAGAACCUGGUAUUCCAAACUACGUGUACCAGCACUACCACAGCGAUAUGACUCAGUGUCCACCUAAAGCAUGAUAAUACUGCUUACCAAAGAAAGUAUGGAGGGAAUGAAAAGUUGGGUUAGUUUUAAGUGAUGCGUCACAGAACAGAAUUCAGUGGUAAAAAGCUUAGGCUGGGAACAGAGCUUGAAACAGCAAAGGAAUGAGAGGAACGACCAAAAAGCCAAGGGCCAUAUAGUGAUGUCCGAAAAAUCAGAAUCAAGUAAUAAUAUUGAAUACUGCCAAAGCCAGAGAAAAUGCGGAAUAAGAAAGCAAGCGAUCUGGAAAGUGGCGAGUAAGAUGGAAUAUGAGGAGGUCGCUGAGAGCUGGGAGGAGGCGGUAGACAGCGGGGAAAUAGAAGUCUGGAAAAAAAACUGAAGAUCACACAAAAACAGCAGGAAAUCCAAAUCUCCCAAAGUGCCCAUUGUGAUUCAGGACGAUAGUUUCCCCCCACCCCCGUACCCCUCCACCGCAUCCUCAAGAGGCCCACCAGCAACGGUGUGGUCAACAGCCCCAAGUCCGCUAGCAGACCCGCCCUUCCAGUCAAGUCCCUGGCACAGCGGGAGGCCGAUUAUGCGGAGACUCGGAAGCGGAUCCUGGGCAGCGCCGGCCGGGAGGAGAAGCAGGAGAAACUCAUCCUCCAUAGGCCUUCCUCUGAUCUUCUUCCCUUCAGGCUAACCAGGAUCUCCCAACCCAAAGACAGCAGGCAGCCCAAUAAUGUGAUCAGACAACCUCUGGGUCCUGAUGGGUCACAAGACUUCAAACAGCGCAGAUAAAUGCAGCCAAGAAGAUACGGCGCGACUGCAGCGUCAACGCCUCCUGCGUCGUCCGCCAAGGGUUGCACUUUCGUGGCAGACAGCUGGACUUGAGCAGCAGGAACCUGACUUACUUGCCCGGUGAUCUCCGUUGCUCCGCCACUGUGACCUUGAACCCCAUGCACUGUGACCUCCCCCCUUCUCCCCUUCCCACUGUGAUUGGCACUUCGACAAGGACUGUCCCAAGUCAAUGGAAAGGGAAAGGGUGGUGGUUAGGAGAAGGUUGCGGGGAACCCACCAAGUACUCAGAGAGUCAGACAGGGCCAGAAAUAACGGUUUAUCAUGCUCAUUAAUUUGGGAUUUCGAAACACAAAUGAACUCACACCUACCCACCCCCAAGUGCAUGUCUUCAUCACUUAAAAAGUGAGUUCCCUUUGGAAAAAAAAAGAAAGCAAACCAUCUGCUCACUCUAAAAGCAGUUGCUAUUGUUUGUAACUUUACCAUUUAAAAAAAUACAGACCAGCUGCUGCUGUUUGUUUGCAUUCCACAGUUAUCCUGUGUCACUUUGCCCUUUGCUG